CACCUCCCACCAUCGCCUUGCCCACACUGGGAUACCACGACUCGGAUACAGAAACAAAAUCACGUGAUUUCCUCCCAACCUCCACCACGCAAUUUUCUCCGCCUUCAUCGCCGCCUCCUUCCCCUUCCGCGCGGUGCCUCCCUCCACCACUGCCGCAUCGGCUCCUGCCUCCUAUCGCCGCUUCCGCUGCUCCUGUCGUCACCGAUGCCGCUCCCGUCUUCGCCGACGACGCCGGUGACUCCCUCCACCGCCGCCUGGUCCCCGCCUCCGUGCCGCUCGCCACCACAAUUGGGCCUGCUGGUCCAGGGUUCCGUUGGCGCCACAGCCCCGUCGCCGACCAGUGGUUCAGCCUUCCGCCAGUGCCGCUGCUCCAUCGUUCUCCGGUGGUCUAGCCUUCCGUCGCGCCUCCGGUCUUGCCGCCAUUACGAGGGGCAUAGUCUGCCAUAGGUACUUCCAGCCGUGCGCCAAAAUUUCUUCUGCUGGUGAGAUCGAGUGAGACCCCAUUGACUCAAAUUGACUCUUCUGAAUCCCCAUUAGUCUUCUGUGUGGAUUCUUAUUCAGCUGAAGGGCUAUAUCCUAUCAAGGUGACUGGUGUUGCUCCAUACAGACUAACAUUGUAGACUUGUAGUUGCCAUGCCUCUUCCAGAUUACUUUAUAGAGAAAUUAUAUUGUGCAGGUUUGAGAAUUGUUCAAGUUCGAUCAGAUUAAAGGGAUCGGCUCACUUUUGAGAAUUCAUAUGUUCCCUUUCUGAUUCAUUUGUUUAGUACUUUAGUUCUUGAGCACAGAUUAUUGUGAGCCUUCAUCCAUGAAUAAAUUAUAUAUAUAUUUGUUCAGUCAUUCACAAAGUAAUUAUCUAAAUCGAGUACUCAGUAAUAUAGCAGUUCAUGUGUGUUCAUGUUGUCUAAUGUAGAGCAGUGCAUGACUGGUUAGACGGUGAUGCAUCAGGCGGUGGCUGGCCGGACAGGUGCUAAGCAAGAGCAUGCGUGCAGCUGAUCAGUAUAAUGGAUAUGCUGGGGAUGGGUGAACAGGAUGGAAGGCAUUUUUUAUAGGCCCUUGUCAGAUGAUGGCUUUUGGCUUUAAGAUGCUCUAUGAGAAGGGUCAAGGAGAUUUUGUUCUGUUAUUUACCAUUGAUUGGCCUUUGGUUGAUAUAUAUGAAUUAAUAUACUCCAUAGGCACAACAAAAAGGUAAUAUUCAUAUAUGCAGGAUUAUUUCUUUGCUUUAAGUUUUUACUAAUUUUUACUAUGGUUAUUGGUCACUGGUCAGAUAAGGGUACAUACAUAUAUUUGCGUAGUAUAAACAUAUUAAAGAAACUCAGCUUAGUGUAUGCAAGGGGGCAUGGAACAACUCUGAUUCUGAAUAGGAAUAACUUCUUCCUUUUUCUGGGCUAGGAAUUUGAGUGUUUACUUUUUCAUUAACAAGCCUUAUAUGCUCCUAGCUAGCAGCUGCUGGUGAAUUGAUAAAAUUUUGGUGAUUUUGUCCUAACGCUUCAAAUUUUGUUUUGGGUAGAUCCAAGGACAAAUAUAUUCUCCAAACACAUGAACUUUUGUUAAAGAAAAAUAAGAUAUUUUAUUUUGAUGCACAAGUAUGUGCUAUAGACCCAACCUCUACCCAGGGGCACACGACCAAAACACAUUCCAUGAUGCUCCAGAAGUCUAGCACUACUACAACAUGCAUAAUUUCAUCUUUAUAUUGGCUUUGAUCCGGGAUUAUCCUAGCCAUUGUCACAUGCUGCUAAGAGGCGUUCCUUUUUUCCUUCUUUGUGAGAGGAGGCAACCUUCAUAUAAGCCUGGUGGCAUCUCUGACCACAUGUUUGGAGGAUGGAAUUAGGCAAUGUGAUGCACAUGACUUCAAUGAAGCGCGUUAAUCAGGGUUGUAGGUCUGGAGGAUGGCAUUAGAGAAGGUGAUGCACAUGACUUAAAUGGAGCAAGUUAAUCACGAUUGCAGGUUUGAAGGACGCCAUUACUUACACAUAAUUCCCUGUCAGAAUAAUAUUUGACAUUCAUAUGCUUGCACACAUAUGAAAUCCCAAAAUUAUCUACCUGAAUGUUCUUGUUUGCCACAUGCAUACCACAACACUAUUGACUAUUUGUGAAUUAUCUGAAAUUUGCAUUUUACUUAUGUAUGCUGAUGGUUCUCUCUGCUCAAUCUCAAUUCAAAGAGUUACAUGUCAUUUUCCUUAUAAUCUACUGUUAAGUUCCUAUUGAAUUUAUAUUCGCUGAACUCUACCCAACCAUGUUUGCUGUUGCUCCAACCAAAAUUAGGAGGCUUUAUGGUCUUUGUGUGUCAUACAACUUUAUAUAUGAAUUUGAAUUUAGUUUUACAUGGUCUGAACUUGGGCUUGCAUUGCUCAAGAACUUGGUUGACAACAUUCUGAAAUUGGCCUUGCAUUAUAUGGCAUCCUGUGUAGUGUAAUUAAUGUAUUGUUUCUAUUAAACAUAAACAGGCAUAUAUAUUUUCCCUGUGAACUAUUGGUUAUGCACUGAGUUAAUAAUUCCUGACAGCCUUUAGAAAUGUGGAACACUUUCCUUUUUUUUGUUACAAAUUUCCUAGGAGCAAAAAAAUUGCCAAUCACAUCUCAUGUUGUGUCCUCCAAAAAAAAAUGUUGUAAUUUUCUGUCGUGCUGAUGACAAAUUCUCUAUAUAUACCUCAAACAAGCUAUUCAUUUUCUGUAUUUGGAGUCUUUGUCCUUGCAAUAUGUGUGAACCUUAGAUGUCUAACAUUUGCCAGAUUAGUGUUUGAACAUUUCAUAUAUUAUUUUCUGAGCAUUUGGCAUAUUAGUUUCUGACUUGUCCUUAUGAUGUAGGAGCAUCUGAAUUUAGAAUCUGAACUUCGACAAGCAUCUAAAUAUUGUUCAAUGUUUUAAUUUGCUGUGAGCUAAUGAAUGUUAUGAAUUUCUCAUAGCUCAAGUACCGGAAGUUUAGAAAUUCUCCAGUCAAUGUAAGGUUUGUGUGGGUUUAGUGUCUGACCUUAGCCAUUGCAAUGUGUGUAAACAAUAUACUCCUAUUAUCAUUUAAGGUUGAACAUGGAAUGUAUCUUUUUUUUAGAAUUACAUGAAAUGUAUCUGAAUUUAGUGUGUGGACA